CAGCCGCCGCGGGAAUACGAAGGGGGCUAGCGUUGCUCGGAAUUACUGGGCGUAAAGGGAGCGUAGGCGGAUCGUUAAGUUGGGGGUGAAAGCCCGGGGCUCAACCUCGGAACUGCCUUCAAUACUGGCGAUCUUGAGUAUGAGAGAGGUGUGUGGAACUCCGAGUGUAGAGGUGAAAUUCGUAGAUAUUCGGAAGAACACCAGUGGCGAAGGCGACACACUGGCUCAUUACUGACGCUGAGGCUCGAAAGCGUGGGGAGCAAACAGGAUUAGAUACCCGGGUAGUCCCUGUCUCUUAUAC
rnacentral:rRNA from 1 species